UGCUGAAGGCGCGCACAGAUGGCAUGCACUUUCUGCAGCAGCUCUAAUAUAUAUGGGUAGUUUUUCAGGAAGAGAAGGGACCAGCACAGGGCCCACCUCUAUCCCCUCCCUAUUAGUGAAGAUCCGUUAGGCAGAGUAGCUGUCGACUUUAUAGUUGCACAGGCACUUUGGUGACUCUAGAGAACCUCAGGCAAAUCGCACGUCCCCGUGACAGCAACGACGCAUUCGGAUUUCUGUCCUAUCAACUUUCGAUGGACUUUCUGGGCCUACCAUGGUGACCACGGGUAAUGGGGAAUCAGGGUUCAUUUUUGGAGAGGGAGCCUGAGAAACGGCUACCACAUCCAAGGAAGGCA